UCUCCCAGCAACAUGUAAAAGACAUGACAAGGUCAUGCUGCUAGACAAAAGAAUAAAUGCAUACAAUGUCUUCCUGAAAAGUUGUCUCCCACUUCGGAUGAUAUCCAUGCUCACAUAGUGCAAGAUUUCUGAAAGAGACUUUAUAUUUAAAUAAAAAAGAUGAGUGUUUUUAUAUAUCGGAGGAUAGAGAAAAGAGCAUCCCCCAGC
rnacentral:lncRNA from 1 species